rnacentral:rRNA from 1 species
UGGGGAAUAUUGCACAAUGGGCGCAAGCCUGAUGCAGCCAUGCCGCGUGUAUGAAGAAGGCCUUCGGGUUGUAAAGUACUUUCAGCGGGGAGGAAGGCGAUGUGGUUAAUAACCGCGUCGAUUGACGUUACCCGCAGAAGAAGCACCGGCUAACUCCGUGCCAGCAGCCGCGGUAAUACGGAGGGUGCAAGCGUUAAUCGGAAUUACUGGGCGUAAAGCGCACGCAGGCGGUCUGUCAAGUCGGAUGUGAAAUCCCCGGGCUCAACCUGGGAACUGCAUCCGAAACUGGCAGGCUUGAGUCUCGUAGAGGGGGGUAGAAUGCCAGGUGUAGCGGUGAAAUGCGUAGAGAUCUGGAGGAAUACCGGUGGCGAAGGCGGCCCCCUGGACGAAGACUGACGCUCAGGUGCGAAAGCGUGGGGAGCAAACA